rnacentral:rRNA from 1 species
AUCAGGGGUAAACCUGUGAAACUCGAACGAACGAACGGGGAGAUUCACCGUAUUUCCGUUUCGAUCCGCGUCGCGGCCAUCCUUCGACGCGACGGCGUUCGCGCGUCUGUCGUCGUCGGAGGCGGUCGCGUCGUCCGAAUGACGGUCGACGGAGUGCGUGCACUUCUCCCUCAGUAAAACACCGCGACCCGUUCGACUGCGAUCGAACGCGCCGUGCGGUCGUUCCGUUUCGAACGUAAAAAAUUCGGGACGGAGCCGCGGCGUCGCGUUCGCGGUCAGACGGUAGAGGACGAGGUUCGCGUUCGCCGCCUGCGCGCAAGCGUGUGGCGGCGUCCGUUUCGCGAACCGAACGGGUCUCGUGCGAACCUCGACGUAUACGCGUCGUAGGCAUAUUCGUACGUUGUACGCCCGUUCGUCGGCGUCGCGACCUCUCGGACGGAACGCGUCCCGGUCGGCGGUGGUUUUGUUUCGGGCACUCACAGG